rnacentral:rRNA from 1 species
UACGGAGGAUCCGAGCGUUAUCCGGAUUUAUUGGGUUUAAAGGGUGCGUAGGCGGCCUUGUAAGUCAGGGGUGAAAGACGGUAGCUCAACUAUCGCAGUGCCUUUGAUACUGCAGGGCUUGAAUGUACUUGAGGUAGGCGGAAUGUGACAAGUAGCGGUGAAAUGCAUAGAUAUGUCACAGAACGCCAAUUGCGAAGGCAGCUUACUAAAGUAUGAUUGACGCUGAGGCACGAAAGCGUGGGGAUCAAACAGG